UCAUUGAACCUUGACAGGUGGC
rnacentral:siRNA from 1 species